rnacentral:rRNA from 1 species
AAUGGACGAAAGUCUGACGCAGCGACGCCGCGUGGGGGAUGAAGGUCUUCGGAUUGUAAACCCCUUUCGGGAGGGAAGAUGGAGUGGGUAACCACUUGGACGGUACCUCCAGAAGCAGCCACGGCUAACUUCGUGCCAGCAGCCGCGGUAAUACGAAGGUGGCAAGCGUUGUUCGGAUUCACUGGGCGUACAGGGAGCGUAGGCGGUUAGGUAAGCCCUCCGUGAAAUCUCCGGGCCUAACCCGGAAAGUGCAGAGGGGACUGCUUGGCUAGAGGAUGGGAGAGGAGCGCGGAAUUCCCGGUGUAGCGGUGAAAUGCGUAGAUAUCUGGAGGAACACCGGUGGCGAAGGCGGCCCCCUGGAUCAUGACUGACGCUGAGGUGCGAAAGCGUGGGUAGCAAA